AAGAAAAAGAAAAGAAAAAAGAAAGCAAAAGAGGGAAUCUUUUUGUAGAAAAAUUGUGAUCUACGAAGAUCUAACGGUCUGAUUUUUGAUCCGUCUUCAGAAACGUGUUCCUUGCACUUGAAUCUACGUUUUCACUGAUCAUUUUGAGGUAAUGGGCUUGUUGGAACUUGUUUAAGGCUAUCCAAGCCAUGGGUUUUGGUUUGCUGAAUUUUUGGUAAUGUGACGUAUUGCAAGGUGGUGUCUAGGAGACCUAGUGCUUAAUAUCCAUGCAGCCAAGGGAUUCCACUUUCAGAGUGAUGUCAAGAUUAGAAGAAAAUUCAAGUUCCUUGUCAGCCGUCCGGACGCCCAUCUGUCUACUGCUCCAUCCGUCCGGACGAUGUGUCAUCCCGUCCGGACGCCAAACAGUCCAGCAUCAUCCGUCCGGACGACGUGCUUCUUCCGUCCGGACACUUCACUGUAUCAAGAAGUUUCUGUUCCAGCUAGCUCCGUC